rnacentral:rRNA from 1 species
UACGGAGGGGGCUAGCGUUGUUCGGAAUUACUGGGCGUAAAGCGCACGUAGGCGGCUUUGUAAGUUAGAGGUGAAAGCCCGGGGCUCAAUCCCGGAACUGCCUUUAAGACUGCAUCGCUUGAAUCCAGGAGAGGUGAGUGGAAUUCCGAGUGUAGAGGUGAAAUUCGUAGAUAUUCGGAAGAACACCAGUGGCGAAGGCGGCUCACUGGCCUGGUAUUGACGCUGAGGUGCGAAAGCGUGGGGAGCAAACAGG